GACGAACGCUGGCGGCGUGCUUAACACAUGCAAGUCGAACGAAGAGCGAUGGAAGCUUGCUUCUAUCAAUCUUAGUGGCGAACGGGUGAGUAACGCGUAAUCAACCUGCCCUUCAGAGGGGGACAACAGUUGGAAACGACUGCUAAUACCGCAUACGAUCUAAUCUCGGCAUCGAGGAUAGAUGAAAGGUGGCCUCUACAUGUAAGCUAUCACUGAAGGAGGGGAUUGCGUCUGAUUAGCUAGUUGGAGGGGUAACGGCCCACCAAGGCGAUGAUCAGUAGCCGGUCUGAGAGGAUGAACGGCCACAUUGGGACUGAGACACGGCUCAGACUCCUACGGGAGGCAGCAGUGGGGAAUCUUCCGCAAUGGACGAAAGUCUGACGGAGCAACGCCGCGUGAGUGAUGACGGCCUUCGGGUUGUAAAGCUCUGUUAAUCGGGACGAAAGGCCUUCUUGCGAAUAGUGAGAAGGAUUGACGGUACCGGAAUAGAAAGCCACGGCUAACUACGU
rnacentral:rRNA from 1 species